rnacentral:lncRNA from 1 species
AUGAGCCCUUGGAUAUGCUUCACUUCAUGUGGCCUAUCAAGUUAUGUCAGCACACAGCAACAUUCAAGCAGAGGAGACACUGGGGCAGUGCAUAAAUCUGAGGCAUUACAAAGGGCAGAAUCUGCACAUGCAACUAUUCCAAAAGAAAUGCUGAGUAGUGCAGGGUAUUCUCAGUUUGAUUACAGCAUGGAGGAAGUUGAGAACAUUGAAUAAGAAGGAACUGUCUCAGAGGUGCCUAGCUGGGUGUAUGAUCUAAAUUAUUCUACUUGCGACUCUCAAAGAGAAAUCCUCACCCAGUACAAGAAGGCUAUGGCAUGGGAUGAUGAUGAAGCUCCCACCAAGAGGCGGCUGGUUUCAUUUUAUACGGAUAAUCUGAGACUUCAUAAGUUCCACUUGGCACUUUAAGUAGACUCCACAUGCUGCAUCAGGCUCCAGUGAGCCCUACUUAGGGAUGCGUUGAUGCCUGUCAAAGAAACAGAAGAAUCGUGGAAUCAGUUGAGUUUCUGAACUAUUACACGUACUAGAAAUGUAUUAGUUUGUUGAUGAUUGUUCUUGUUGUGGUAUUAUUCUUUGUAUCCUGCUGUGCAGAAUGAGAAUAGUUGUUCAUCUAUCGAGACAAAUAAGAUCCGGUAAGUGUACAAGUGUCAGGGUACUAGACUUGUCAAAUGCCAGAGUUUGAGAAUUCUUGAUGCAGCUAUCAGAAAGCAGAAGGGAACCGGAAGAUUAGAUUAACUGACCUAAAAUGUUGUGGGAGUAUUAGAACAGAAGAUUGCUUUGAACAAUGUGAUGAGAAAUAUAAAACGCGGCAAACUCUUGCCACCAAUGGUCUGAAACCAAAGAUACAGAUGUCAGUACCACAUUCAGAGAAGGGAACCAAUCUGAUCUUCCCGAUCCAUUAGUGUAAAACCUACUACCAUCGAUAUUCAAAAUAGUAAGUGGGAGGAAAAGCGAAUAGGUUUUUCACUAAUACAGAGAUCAAUGAAUUUUACAAAGACAAUGUGGACUACAAAUCAGUUUCAGAGGCACUUGUUUGUAAAAUAGUAGUGUCUGCCGAAGAAAUCACCCAUCCAGACAGAAUUUUACUACGAAUACUCUUCAACAGAGGUCCACCAAGAAGACCAACAAAGUACAAGAGAUCAAGCUGUCAAAAUUCAAACCCUCUUUGCUUGUCAACCACGGGGAAUUUUAUCUGCUGGAACUUUGUUCAGAAUGAAAAUCAAUCUUCUCAUCUGACAAAGAGAAUCACACUUCAAAGGUCCUCCAUAAAUCUAAAUUAGUGCGACCUGUCUUUACAGAAUCCAGCAAGAUUGAAUGUAGAACCAGCAACAAAAGUAAAUAAGCAGGAUUCCUUUAAGAUGUCUGCUCUCCAACUCUCCGAGCAAGGGCUGCAGCAAUGACAACACUAGUACACACAGAAACUCUGGCAAAUACGGUCAACCAAAAGAUAAGCUCAAUUAUGCUUACAUGCUAGUUCUGUAAAAUUCAACUUGAUUUAGCUUUGAAACUCCCUUUAGAGUUUUCUCUUGGAGUUCUGCACAUGCCUCUUUGUAUACUACAGAACACUGUUGUAGGAGACAGUAAGCCAUUAAUUAGCAGA